UACGUAGGGGGCAAGCGUUGUCCGGAAUCAUUGGGCGUAAAGAGCGUGUAGGCGGCCCGGUAAGUCCGCUGUGAAAGUCCAGGGCUCAACCCUGGGAUGCCGGUGGAUACUGUCGGGCUCGAGUCCGGAAGAGGAGUGUGGAAUUCCUGGUGUAGCGGUGAAAUGCGCAGAUAUCAGGAGGAACACCAAUGGCGAAGGCAGCACUUUGGGACGUGACUGACGCUGAGACGCGAAAGCGUGGGGAGCAAACAGG
rnacentral:rRNA from 1 species